CAGCAGCCGCGGUAAUACGGAGGGAGCUAGCGUUGUUCGGAAUUACUGGGCGUAAAGCGCGCGUAGGCGGUUACUCAAGUCAGAGGUGAAAGCCCGGGGCUCAACCCCGGAACUGCCUUUGAAACUAGGUGACUAGAAUCUUGGAGAGGUCAGUGGAAUUCCGAGUGUAGAGGUGAAAUUCGUAGAUAUUCGGAAGAACACCAGUGGCGAAGGCGACUGACUGGACAAGUAUUGACGCUGAGGUGCGAAAGCGCGGGGAGCAAACAGGAUUAGAUACCCCAGUAGUCCCUGUCUCUUAUAC
rnacentral:rRNA from 1 species